GAUGAACGCUGGCGGCGUGCCUAAUACAUGCCAGUCGAGCGAACAGAUAAGGAGCUUGCUCCUUUGACGUUAGCGGCGGACGGGUGAGUAACACGUGGGUAACCUACCUAUAAGACUGGAAUAACUCCGGGAAACCGGGGCUAAUGCCGGAUAACAUUUAGAACCGCAUGGUUCUAAAGUGAAAGAUGGUUUUGCUAUCACUUAUAGAUGGACCCGCGCCGUAUUAGCUAGUUGGUAAGGUAACGGCUUACCAAGGCAACGAUACGUAGCCGACCUGAGAGGGUGAUCGGCCACACUGGAACUGAGACACGGUCCAGACUCCUACGGGAGGCAGCAGUAGGGAAUCUUCCGCAAUGGGCGAAAGCCUGACGGAGCAACGCCGCGUGAGUGAUGAAGGUCUUCGGAUCGUAAAACUCUGUUAUUAGGAAAGAACAAAUGUGUAAGUAACUGUGCACGUCUUGACGGUACCUAAACAGAAAGCCACGGCUAACUACGUG
rnacentral:rRNA from 1 species